GGAGGAGAGUGGUGGAGUGGAGUUGAGAGAGAGAUGGAGGGAGGAGAGCCGAGCACUGUGAGAAUUCCUGCUGUGUUAGCAUCCACCCAGCAACUCUGUCAAUACUGCAUACAGCUAAGAAACAGGCAGAGGCCCCUGGUGCUGCAUUUGCCGGCUCAGUCAGUGAGAGAGAGCAGCUUCCACAAUCCCCCCAAUCCGUGUGCUGCUCGAGAGGUUUUUCCCAGGGAUAACACACCCACCAGAGCCCCGGCCGCUACUGCUGCGUCGGAGGGAGAGGAAGAGACAAGAGGAGAGCUGAACAGUAGAUACAGAGUGGGAAUACUCUAGAAGAGAGAGACGAUCCUGGGGGAGGGACAGGAUUCUUGGAAGACUGGGUGUGAUAGUAUUCUAACUUGCUCCACAGGAAAGGCUGAACACUGGGGCGUUUGACAGACAAGCACUCAGCGGUGCACCUGCUCCACACUAGCUUGUUGGGUGGUGAUGUGGGAGAGCUGAUGUCUACAAUGGCUGACCUGAAUCUGCACCUGCACAUACUGAUACCCCCGUUUCAACACUGUCGUGGUUACCUCCCGACCCAGGAGCCCAACCCCAGGAUCUGACCCCGUCUCUUCCUCACCUCCCCUGGGCUUCCUCCAGCCAGGCCUACUGGAUCUACCCUGGGCCCAUAAUGGGAGGAUGCCUCUCCAAAAGCAAGCCAGUUGAGGUGAAAGUGGAGCUAACCCUUCUGGGCAAAGAAAAUGAUCCAGGUGUGAAGUCCGCCAAUGGAAAGGCGAGCCCCUUUUCUGACUGCAGACCCAACGGAGCACUGGAACACUGCUCCGAUGAGGACUCCGCCGCUGCCGCCCCCCUCAGGCUCUACAAACCCCGUGAUUACCUGGAGGCCUCCGUGUGUCAUGUCAAGGACCUGGAAAAUGGACAGAUGAGAGAGGUUGAUUUAGGAAGUGGCAGAGCGCUGCUCAUUAAAGAACAUGGAGAGUUUUCUGCAAUGGGGCACAAGUGCCCGCAUUAUGGGGCACCACUGGUCAAAGGUAUCUUGUCCAAAGGCCACGUGCGUUGCCCCUGGCAUGGAGCUUGUUUCAACAUUGUUACAGGAGACAUUGAGGAAUUUCCUGGGCUUGACAGCCUGCCCACCUUCCAGGUCCGAGUUGAAAAGGACAAAGUGAUAAUUCGUGCUAACAAACAGGAUCUUCAGUCACAGAGGAGGUCAAAAGCAAUGGCCCGAUGUUUAGCAGUUAACUCCAGCACUGGCUUCAGCCAGGUCCUUAUCGUUGGAUCAGGUCCAGCAGGGCUGGUGUGCGCUGAGACAUUGCGACAGGAAGGCUUCACUGAUCGCAUUGUCAUGUGCACCAUGGACAAACACCCACCAUAUGACAGGCCUAAACUGAGUAAGUCCUUAGAGAGCACAGCAGAUCAGCUCCGGCUACGCUCCAUAGACUUCCUCCAAGCCCACAACAUCGAGUUGCUCACGGAGAAGGAGGCUGUGGCAGUGGACGUCAAGACGAGGGCUGUGACUUUUCAAGACGACUCUAGGAUGGAAUACAGGAAGCUUUUCAUUGCCACAGGAAGCAAACCCAAGCUGAUGAACUACAAAGGCCAGGACGUUAGGAAUGUGUUUCACCUCCGAACCCCUGAAGAUGCUAACAGCGUAGCGAGGCUGGCCAAAAACAAGAAUGCUGUGAUUGUGGGAACAUCAUUUGUUGGUAUGGAGGUGGCUGCUGCUCUCACCGACAAGGCCCACUCUGUCUCCAUCAUUGGGAUAGAAGCAAUCCCUUUCCGGAAAGCUCUGGGGGAGAAAGUAGGGAAAGCCAUAAUGAAGCUGUUUGAGACGAACAGGGUGAAGUUCUACAUGUUGAACGAGGUAUCGGAGAUGCUUGGCCAUGAUGGACAGUUGAAAGAGGUGGUUCUGAAGAGUGGGAAAGUACUAAGGGCGGACGUGUGUGUCAUUGGCACAGGGUCAGGCCCAGCCACUGGCUUCCUGAAACAGAGUGGAGUUCACAUGGAUUCCAAGGGUUUUGUCCCCGUCAACAAGACAAUGCAGACCAACGUUGAUGGUGUCUUUGCCGGAGGAGACAUUGUGACGUUUCCUUUUCCGGGGCGGAGCAAUAAGAAGGUGAACAUCCCACACUGGCAAAUGGCCCAUGUGCAUGGGAGAGCAGCAGCACUUGGCAUGAUGGGAAGACCCACUGAGAUCAAAACAGUGCCCUAUUUCUGGUCGGCCAUGUUUGGGAAAAGCCUACGCUAUGCAGGUUACGGGGAUGGCUUUGAUGACGUCAUCAUCCAAGGAGACGUGGACGAGCUGAAGUUUGUGGCAUUUUAUACCAAGGGUGAGGAGGUGGUUGCCGUGGCCAGCAUGAACUAUGACCCCAUUGUAUCCCGUGUGGCAGAGGUCUUAAGGACUGGAAAGAUGAUUAGAAAGCGAGAUGUGGACCAAACGUGAUGAACAAAACGGAGCGAUUUCUCCUACACAAAUAAUAUUUUUGGAAAAACUGAACAUUUGCUAUCUAACUGAGAGUCUCCUCAUUGAAAACAUCCGGAGUUCUUCAAAGGAAGUCAUAGCGGAAACCUACAACGGACUGUGUGAUGAUGGCAUCUCAGAGUGCGAGCUGAUCAAGGGGUCGAAAAUGUAGAUAUUGCCAGAUGUAUGUUCACUGUCCGAGGAACAGGCCGUGGAAGCUUUAUUGCUGGCAAAAGUGUCCAUAACCAGAGGUAAUUAAACUGUUCUGUGUUAUUUUUCUCUCUUCCUCUCUGCCUGUCUUGUUGUACAUGGAACCUCUCACACAUGCAUUCAUUUAAAAACCCUUAAUAUGUCAUCUUCUAAUUUUAAGAUUUACACCACAUAAACACCCAGCCAUUUUCACUGGACUAUCAAGCCCCUGUUCGAAAAUGUAGAUAUUGCCAGAUGUAUGUUCACUGUCCGAGGAACAGGCCAUGGAAGCUUUAUUGCUGGCAAAAGUGUCCAUAACCAGAGGUAAUUAAACUGUUCUGUGUUAUUUUUCAUUUUCACUGGACUAUCAAGCCCCUGUUGCUGCCAGAUUUAUCUUUCGAGAAUUACAGAUUCAGCAGGUAGAGGACCUGCUUUAUCAGGAGGAUAUUCUGGAAUCUGGAAACACUGACAAUGGGGUCAUUGUUCCUGACAUCCCAUGCCCCCUGUCUACUGAGAAUCUUGCUGUGCUGCAACGUCAAGUGAACCCUACAGUACCACUGACAUCUUUUGGUCAGGACAUAUACAUGCAUGCUCUUCGAUUAGUAAUGAGUCUCCAUCUUUUUUAGGUGCUGUCCUCCUACACUAUGUAGGGUAUUGUUUUAUCCCCAGUGCAACUCUUGAUAAAGGCAAACAUUUGUAUUUUUUGGAGGAGGGUGAAAGGAUAGCAGGCCCAGCUGUCAAAGUGAGAGACUAGGCUAUUCUAGAGAGAGCAGGUACUUUUGUGUAGUCUAGUUCUUGUGAGGUUUUCUGUCCUUGGAUACAGAGAGCUGUGAAAGCCUGUCUGCAGAGAGCUGUGAAAGCCUGUCUGCAGAGAGCUGUGAAAGCCUGUCUGAGGAUGAAGAGGUCCCAAUGAGGAGCAGCUGUUCUCAGUCCUGGUCCUGGGGACUCAAAGGGGUGCACAUUUUAGUUUUUGCCGAUUCAUUUUUGUAUAUAGCUGAUUCAAAUGAUCAAGUCAUAAUCAAGCUUCAAGUGAUAUUUUUAUAUUAAUUUGUGAAGCUAUCCUUGAUAUGAUCCUGCUAUUGUCACAUGCAUCUAUCUAUCUAUCCAAUGUUAUCACUAUUUGUUAUAAGGGAUAUUAUACUUAUAUUAUUAAAGAGAUGCUUUACAUUGAAAUACAGAUAGAGAUGUAGUAGUCCCAGAGUUAAUGAUCCAAGGUCAGUUUUUGUAUUUCACCUCCCGAUGAUUAUGAUGACUGACCGUGUUAGAAUAAAAAAAAAGAAAGCUUAACCAUGUUCUCUCUCUAUCCAUCUGUCUCCCGUCUGCAGGUAUGUUUUGAUGUGAGAGAGGAAGCCAGUCCCGUCAAUGCCACCUCACCCGCUCUUAAGAUAACCUUCUGACUGGGAGCCCAAGGCUGGUUAGGAGACACCGCAAGAGACACUAUGUAAUUGUGAUGAACUGAGAGAAUAUUAGGGCACUGUAAUUCAUGAAUCAUAUGCUGUCUUCCCUGCUCCUCUGUUUUACCUCUUGUUUCCUGUCUUCUACACCUCUCUCCCCACCUCUUCUUUCUUCCCCUUUGUUUUAUAAUACACACCAUAUGUGCAUUGAAGUAUAGCUUGAACUUUUAUUUAAUAUAUUACAAUUGUUAUAUUUAUAAUGCAUGUAUUAUGUAUUUAUAACACCUAGAUAAUGAAUUUUCAAUAAAGCGUUUCACAUUC